AAAGAGGCAUCUAUGAUCUGUUCGACUGAUGGAGCCCCACGGGUGCAUAAGCGGAACGAGACGCCCGGCAGGGCGAUGCGCACAAGUCAUGCCGAGAUGAUGCCGCUUUCGCCACAUGCGCGGAACCAGGGCUCCGAACAGACGGCUGUUAGCUCCAAUUCACCGUACAAAAGCCGAGAAGUCUGAGACCCUCGCAACUUUCCGCCUCCUUCACAGAGUCACCGUGACAUUUUCUGUCUGGAACCCGGAGCUGCCCACCCCCACCCCGCGCUCGCCGGGGCGAAGCGCAGCGAGUGUUGAACAUGAAACACCUAAGGUUAGAUAUGCAGAAGUGCUGAGCACUCUCAACUUCACCUUAAGUCAAUGGAAGCUGUAUUUUGAGCGUGUAAUGUCCAAUUAAAAUGGUGCAUAGAAUAAGGGAUAAUCCUGCCCUAAACAGGGUUGCUGAAGAGACUAUACCUCAAAAUAUGGAAAUUUAGAAGAUGCUGAAGAGCCUGUGUUAUUUAUGGUAUGGAAAUGUACUGGGUGGUUGACUACAACACGCUGGAUAAAGAUUCAAACUAAACAUGAGUAAAAUUAUAUUCUGUCUCCAUGAGUACAGAGAAGAAAAUCACUAAGGUGGAUCAAAUGAUCCUGUGCAUUGAUCUAGGAAUUUUUUUCUUGAGUACUUUCAUCCAAAGAAUCUCCAGAUUUUUACAAACUUCAGACACCUUGCUGCAAAAUGUUGGAGUGCCAGAAUCAUUGACAUGCAGCCAUCUUUACAGUGGAAUGCAGCAGUCCUUUAACAGUUGAUGGGAACUCUAUACAAUAGAUCAGGAAAAGUAGUGAUGAACCAUAUUAUACCCAAUGGAACUUGUGAAGCAAACCUUAGUAGAUAGAAUAUAAUGAUGAACUCUCCUAAAUAAAUGCAUCUCUUGCGUCACCUCGUAAUGUUUUGCAGGAUUGUUAUGUUUUAAAUGUCAACCAGAUUAUUGGAAAAAAUUAUUA